rnacentral:rRNA from 1 species
GAUGAACGCUGGCGGCGUGCCUAAUACAUGCAAGUCGAACGAAACUUCUUUAUCACCGAGUGCUUGCACUCACCGAUAAAGAGUUGAGUGGCGAACGGGUGAGUAACACGUGGGCAACCUGCCCAAAAGAGGGGGAUAACACUUGGAAACAGGUGCUAAUACCGCAUAACCAUAGUUACCGCAUGGUAACUAUGUAAAAGGUGGCUAUACUACCGCUUUUGGAUGGGCCCGCGGCGCAUUAGCUAGUUGGUAGGGUAAAGGCUUACCAAGGCAAUGAUGCGUAGCCGAAUUGAGAGGUUGAUCGGCCACAUUGGGACUGAGACACGGCCCAAACUCCUACGGGAGGCAGCAGUAGGGAAUCUUCCACAAUGGGCGAAAGCCUGAUGGAGCAACGCCGCGUGGGUGAAGAAGGUCUUCGGAUCGUAAAACCCUGUUGUUAGAGAAGAAAGUGCGUGAGAGUAACUGUUCACGUUUCGGCGGUAUCUAACCAGAAAGCCACGGCUAACUACGUG